rnacentral:ncRNA from 1 species
GGCGCGGUCAACGAGUCGGGUUGUUUGGGAAUGCAGCCCAAAUCGGGCGGUAGACUCCGUCCAAGGCUAAAUACAGGCGAGAGCGCGAUAGCGAACAAGUACCGCGAGGGAAAGAUGAAAAGGACUUUGAAAAGAGAGUCAAAGAGUGCUUGAAAUUGCCGGGAGGGAAGCGGAUGGGGGCCGGCGAUGCGCCCCGGCCGUAUGCGG